rnacentral:lncRNA from 1 species
CGGGCCGAGGUCAUGCCCGCCUGCCCCCAGCGCCGGGCGGCCCCCUCGUCGGGCCAGGCGGCCGCUCGAGAGCCGGGCUGGGGAAGGGGCCCGCGGCGGAGUUGGCUCGGGGACUCACCAGGCCAGGAACUUGGGAGCCAUUUAAGCUGGUUGGUUCUUGCUCAGGGCCACUCAAGCUGAUGGCUGGAGUUGCAGAGUCAUCUGAAGGCUGGACUGAGGCUGAAAGAUCUGCUUCCAAGAUGGUGCCCUCACAUAGCUGCUGGCUGGAAGCCUUAGCCCUUCACCAUAAAGCCCUCUCUGUAAGGGUACCUGAGUCACCUCAUAAGGCAGCUGGCUUUCCCCAGAGAGGAAGACAGAGAAUCUAGGAAGGUGCCAGGGAUGAUUUCUCAUCCCAAAGCCCUGGGAGAAAUCCCAUCUCUGGGCAAGAAGAGAAUCUGAACGCAAAUGGAUGAAGAUGCUAAUGAGGCUCAGAUGAUGAGAGCACACUAGGCUCACAGCAUGCUGACAAAUCCAGAAACAGGCUAUGCUUCCCUCCCGCCUUCCUAAGACUUCAGCUAAGACACUGCACAUGCCCGUCCCUCUGCAGGAAGGCCAUCCACAGUUAUAUCUUGCUUUAAAAAAGCAAAACUUUGAAAAAUAAAAUGUACAAAAUUGGGUAG